rnacentral:ncRNA from 1 species
GGUUGGGCGAAAUAAUUUCGUUUCAAGAGACUUGGCUUUUAGGGUGGAAAGCU